rnacentral:rRNA from 1 species
GACGAACGCUGGCGGCGUGCCUAACACAUGCAAGUCGAACGGAGUUGUUCCUUCGGGGACAACUUAGUGGCGAACGGGUGAGUAACGCGUGAGGAACCUGCCUUUCAGUGGGGGACAACAGUUGGAACGACUGCUAAUACCGCAUAAUGUAUUUGAGUGGCAUCACUUAAAUACCAAGAUUAUUGCUGAAAGAUGGCCUCGCGUCUGAUUAGCUAGUUGGUGAGGUAACGGCUCACCAAGGCGACGAUCAGUAGCCGGUCUGAGAGGAUGAACGGCCACAUUGGGACUGAGAUACGGCCCAGACUCCUACGGGAGGCAGCAGUGGGGAAUAUUGGGCAAUGGGGGGAAACCCUGACCCAGCAACGCCGCGUGAAGGAAGAAGGCC